GCCGGGGUGGGGUAGCUUGGAUAUCCUUGGGGACUGUGGAUCCCCUGACCCGUGUUCAAAUCCCGGUCCCGGCC
rnacentral:tRNA from 1 species